AUUGAACGCUGGCGGCAGGCCUAACACAUGCAAGUCGAGCGAGUGGCGGACGGGUGAGUAAUGUCUGGGAAACUGCCUUAUGGAGGGGGAUCAAUCCUGGAAACGGUAGCUAAUACCGCAUACCAUCGGAUGUGCCCAGAGGGGAUGAGCUAGUAGGUGGGGUAAAGGCUCACCUAGGCGACGAUCCAUAGCUGGUCUGAGAGGAUGACCAGCCACACUGGAACUGAGACACGGUCCAGACUCCUACGGGAGGCAGCAGUGGGGAAUAUUGCACAAUGGGCGCAAGCCUGAUGCAGCAAGGCCGCGUGUAUGAAGAAGGCCUUCGGGUUGUAAAGUACUUUCAGCGGGGAGGCGUUACCCGCAGAAGAAGCACCGGCUAACUCCGUGCCAGCAGCCGCGGUAAUAC
rnacentral:rRNA from 1 species